rnacentral:rRNA from 1 species
CCUACGGGAGGCUGCAGUGGGGAAUAUUGGACAAUGGGGGCAACCCUGAUCCAGCCAUGCCGCGUGUGUGAAGAAGGCCCUCGGGUUGUAAAGCACUUUCAGUGAGGAAGAACGCCUGGUGGUUAAUACCCAUCAGGAAAGACAUCACUCACAGAAGAAGCACCGGCUAACUCCGUGCCAGCAGCCGCGGUAAUACGGAGGGUGCGAGCGUUAAUCGGAAUUACUGGGCGUAAAGCGCGCGUAGGUGGCUUGAUAAGCCGGUUGUGAAAGCCCCGGGCUCAACCUGGGAACGGCAUCCGGAACUGUCCAGCUAGAGUGCAGGAGAGGAAGGUAGAAUUCCCGGUGUAGCGGUGCAAUGCGUAGAGAUCGGGAGGAAUACCAGUGGCGAAGGCGGCCUUCUGGACUGACACUGACACUGAGGUGCGAAAGCGUGGGUAGCAAACAGGAUUAGAUACCCCGGUAGUC